CCUGGUUGUGGUCCAGGGGGUCGCGGGUUCAAGUCCCGUCGAUCACCCCAUCGAGUUGCCCAAGGGCUCGGUCCUCGUGACCGGGCC
rnacentral:tRNA from 1 species